AUUGAACGCUGGCGGCAGGCCUAACACAUGCAAGUCGAGCGGCAGCGGAAAGUAGCUUGCUACUUUGCCGGCGAGCGGCGGACGGGUGAGUAAUGUCUGGGAAACUGCCUGAUGGAGAGGGAUAACUACUGGAAACGGUAGCUAAUACCGCAUAACGUCGCAAGACCAAAGAGGGGGACCUUCGGGCCUCUUGCCAUCAGAUGUGCCCAGAUGGGAUUAGCUAGUAGGUGGGGUAACGGCUCACCUAGGCGACGAUCCCUAGCUGGUCUGAGAGGAUGACCAGCCACACUGGAACUGAGACACGGUCCAGACUCCUACGGGAGGCAGCAGUGGGGAAUAUUGCACAAUGGGCGCAAGCCUGAUGCAGCCAUGCCGCGUGUAUGAAGAAGGCCUUCGGGUUGUAAAGUACUUUCAGCGGGGAGGAGGGUGUUGAGGUUAAUAACCUCAGCAAUUGACGUUACCCGCAGAAGAAGCACCGGCUGACUCCGUGCCAGCAGCCGCAGUAACAC
rnacentral:rRNA from 1 species